rnacentral:lncRNA from 1 species
ACAACGCUAGAGCGGGUCGGUUCCUGUGGCAAGGGACUAAGGUAAUAGAAGAGAGAGGCAGAGGCGCAGGGCCCGAGUGUCUGGGGGCGGAGUUCCCCGCCGCGACCGCCUCCCCGCCGCGACGGCCCAGCUGGGGUGACUGGCGAGGAUGUCGUUGAGCCGGCUUGGCCUAAGGAGGCGCCUGUGCCAGGCCGCGACCCUGAAUCUGUACAGUGGGGAUGAAGGACUGGCUCCCAAGAGGGGAGCGACGGAGUGUGGCCGGGGACGCGGCGUUCAAAACAGAAUGACGAACGUCAAGGCCGCGAAUCCCUGGCCCUCGCUGUAGGCGCCGGCGUGGGCUCAGUAGUCGCCUGGUGCCAGAGUUUGGGGACAGUGACGGGCUAAGCGGGCCAAGUCUAGAGCUCCCAGUAUUCUCUCCAGGAAUAUUUUCCUGUCUUCUUUCCAACCGGCUGGCGAAUAAAUCCCUCCACUCACUGGUCUAAUUUAAACGCGCUGCGUGCCCACAGGACAGGACCCGCCCUGCGGGAAACGCCCACCCGGGGACUCCGCGCAGACGUGGAGCGCGCCGGCUCCGGGCUUCCCUCUCGGUCCAGCUGUGUCCCAGCUGGGCCUGGAGCCAGGCAUCACACCACGGGAAGCCCCCCCCACCCCACCACGCAAAAUGGUUGAGGAUUCAGUAAAAUUAACUGUGUAGGCAGGGGAGACUGUAGCUGGCACACAGUAGGUGCUUCGGAAGCGUUGGUUGUUCCUCUCAUCUCCGUGUAAUCAAAAAGAUCCAGGAGGCGAUCGCUGUAAGUGUACAUGAAGUACUGGAUGUGGUGUGGCUUCCAUGGUUGCUAUGAAUUCAACGAAAACCUACAUAAAGCCAGUUAAGCAUGGCUCUCCUAGGAACGGGGACUGUGACUGGAUGGUCUCUCUCUCUCCACAGAGAUACGUGGAGUCACUGUGCAUGACACAUGGUAUGUACUCUAGAAAGAAACUAGAGACUGGGGUUGGAGCCCAGGAGUAGGUGAAGGGAAGAGCGGAACACUGCAAAGUCCUCAAGCAGAUUGAGGGAAACAAGGAGAAAAGAUAGGGUUUUAAGUCUGGGCCUGAAACUAGACACAGGUUUAUAUGUUAAGGCCAAAAAUAAAAGGAAGCUUGGCUCCUCCUAACUGUGUUUCUGGCUUUACCAGACUUCAGAGCUGCAGGUAAGUGGAUGGUGAGGGCAGCUGAUGCCCAUGGAUUCACUUCGUCAGAUGCACCUCACUGGGUGGUUUUGGGACAGGGGAAUCUUAUGGACUGUCAUGAGACAGGAGUGCAGACUGGUCACGUGAUGAGCAGGUGCACUGUCAGGAGGUAGACAGAAUGAAGUUAUGCGCCAGUUGUUAAAAUGCCCCAAGAAGAUCACAGCCUUGUUCCCAUCUUAGUCCUGCCAAAGAUGCAAAGUCUAAUCAGGAGGAUUUAACAGACAAACCCAAAUAAAGGGACAUUCUACAGAAGAGCUAGCCUGUAACCUUGGAGUGCCAAGGCCAUGACAGUCAAGGGAAGACCUGGAACUGCUCCAGACUGAAGGAGACUACAGAGAUGUGACAACUGAAUGUCAUAUGUGGCAUUGAAAUAAUUAAAUAAUUCAAAUAAUUAAAUGCCCCAGCACAGGGCAGAGCAGGGCAGAAGUCACUGAGGCUGACCUACUGGUUCUUUGCUGGGGUCUCUUCUGAUCACUUUCCCUGGCUUAAUUCACUUAAUUCUUUUUUUUUUUCAGUGUGGGGGAGGUGUACCAGGGAUUGAACCCAGGACGCUCGCCCACUGAGCCACAUCACCAGCCCUAUUUUAAAUUUUAUUGAGAGACAGGGUCUCACUGGGCUGCUUAGUGCCUCACUGUUGCUGAGGCUGGCUUUGAACUCCUCCUGCCUCAGCCUCCGGAACCGCUAGGAUUACAGGGACGCACCACCCCGCCCAGAUGGACCUAUCUGAGCCAACCUUAAAGUGAUUGGUGGGCAUUCACGGUCACAAGCACAAACGCCCUGUGUACAUCACUGUGUCUUCAGUUCCUCAACCUUCAAAGAUGGUUUCCUUUACCCUGUCUCUAUCCACAUGCUGACCACUCCCCUAUGCAGCCUAUGGAACACUGCAGUUUCCACAUGGCCUCCAAAAAAAAUUUGGGGGAAAUAAAAAAGCUUUGCUCAGUUACAACUUUAAAUAGGUUGAUACCAUAGAAACAAUCCUUAAGUGGCGUUUCCAAGCUGAUAUAUUUAAAGUCUAGCACAUGUACUUUUUCUAGGACAGUGACAUUAUGCAGUUGCACAUGGCUCAUUCUUAUUUUGAAGUUUGUCACAAAAAUAUAUAUGGUGUCCUGAACUUGGCAGAACUGAAAAC